GAUGAAGAACGCAGCGAAAUGCGAUAAGUAAUGUGAAUUGCAGAAUUCCGUGAAUCAUCGAAUCUUUGAACGCACAUUGCGCCCCCUGGUAUUCCGGGGGGCAUGCCUGUCCGAGCGUCAUUGCAACCCUCAAGCGCGGCUUGUGUGUUGGGCUUCGUCCCCCCGUGGACGUGCCCGAAAGGCAGUGGCGGCGUCCCGAAUGGUGCCCGAGCGUAUGGGAACUCUCUUCCGCUCGAACCGGCCCAUUCGGCGCUGGUCGAACCCCAAUUUUUUUUUACCGGUUGACCUCGGAUCAGGUAGGGAUACCCGCUGAACUUAAGCAUAUCAAUAAGCGGAGGA
rnacentral:misc_RNA from 1 species